CACUUUGAGGCAGGAUGAUGAUCUGAUUGUGGAGCCUUAUAGCCCUCACCGAUUUAGUCGACAAUUUGGGUAUUGUCAAGAUGUUCCUGGUGUUCUCAUAGAGCACUAUUAUGAUGGUUCACUUCUAGCUUUGGUGCAACUAUGGGAUUCAUGUGUUCAUCUUGGAAACUCUUCGAAGAUCAUCAUACCAAUGCGUCCAUGCAAUAAGGGGUCUCCAAUGACUCGUGAGUACUCAGAUUAGUGGCCAUCCCAUCGAUAGAAUGUGUUGAGACGAAGUACCUACAUAAUUUUGAGAGGUCCGAGGAAGGAUAAUGCUUCCUUAUCAACCAAAGGAGAUCAACUUCAGCUGGAUAGUCAAGGAAAGCCCUCUGACUCUUCAAAGUCCAAGGCGACAAAGGGUAUUUCUUCGCAAUCUGUCAAAGUCGUUUCCAAGUCUAAAAAUUCGAAGGGCAAGGAUACACAGGUGAAUAAAGGAGUCAAAAGUCCAUCACUGACCCCCAAGGCAGCCAUCGUUACUGAAUCUGAGGUGAUCGACAUAACUCACAAGAGGAAGAAACCUUCCAGCUCAUCAGACAAAAGCGUCGAAAAGGCACUAGGCAUUGUGCCAUUUUGCAGCAGCACAUCCAAACCACCUGCUUUAAUCCCUGGGAUUGGCAUUAGUACUAGUGCAGCCUCUAGUUCCAAUGAGAGCAAUGCUAGCCAAGAGCAACAUUGGAAGCGUUUGAAGAAAAAGCCUAAGGAUUUGAACGAUCAACAUUGUGAGUUCGCUGAUUUAGAUUCCAUUAGUAUUGAUUCCGCGAUCUUUGAAGAUGGCGCUGCUGGUUCUACAAUGCCUUUGACUGAAUUGGCACAUCAGUGAUGUAGAUGUAUUUGAAGAUUGUAUCAUAAGCUCGAACCCUCCUAAUGUGGCUAAGAGUCUUCACCUCCCACUUGCUGAAGUCAAGGGUCAAUUUACAAAUGAGAGUCCAUCGAGAAAGUUAACGGUUCCUUUUUCUGAAAAGGUUGGAACUUCCCAACACGUCUCAACUAAUAAUGUGGAGGUUAGGGCACAUUGGAUUGGAUGUUCAAACAUUUCAAAGGACUUGCUCCACCCUUUCCAAUCGAUUGCCUCAAAUUUUGAACCACAAGAGACUAUUUCAAGCUUCAAAUUAUAUUAUGUUUCCGGCAUGUGGGGUACCUUAUGCGAGUGUAUUACACAAUUCUCUGUUUACUCCUCAGAAAGUCUCAAAGAGUUGGAGACAGGUGCUGCCUUGAAUCUUAAAGGACUUCAAGAAGUUAACGUCAUCGACCUUUCUCCCUUGAAGGUUCUGCUUGAAGACUUUUUUAAGAAACAUGGAGAUUACGAUGCUGCAAGGUUGUCUACUUCUCAAAAGAUAACCAAAGAUUCUCAUGAAGAGUUACUUUCUGAUGCAUAACAAUGCCUUGAUACUGCGAACCAGGAGAAAGUCAAGAUGGACAAACACCUGGAAGAGCUUCAAAAAAUCCUUACAAGAGCUGAAAAGAGCUAGAAGUCUGGACUUCUAAGAAGAAAAAAACCAUCUCACUUAUAGAGGAGCAUCAAAAGAGGUUGUCCGAAAAUCAAAAGAGUAUCACUAACAGAGAAGAUGAGAUUCAUGCCAUUGAGAAAAUCAGUCCCUUGUCUGAAGCAGAAGUAAAAGAACUAGCUAGGCUAAAGGAGGACGCUGAGACAAGUCGCCACCAAAUCCUUAGUCAUAAGUUUUUUCCUUAGUCUUUUGUCCUGCAUAAGAACGUUCUCUUUCUUUUCCUUGUUAUGUUUUUGUAUUUUUCGAUAUAUUAUUAUGAUGUAGUGACAAUCUUCUUCUUUUUUUUGAUGAAAUAAAAGCGACAUCUUUCCCUUAAAA